UAUUAAAAAUAUGUUUUUGUCUAUUUUCGAAGGUGUUUCAUUCAAAUCAUAGAUAUGUACCGGGGAACUGAUAAGGUGUCGAAAGCUCUUCUCAUAGCAUUGACACUUGCUUGCUUCUUUCUGGAUGGAAAACAAAGGUCACAGGUUGAACGCAAUGUGAACGUAACGGCGACAACGACAACAAUGAUCCACAGGAGUCGAAGAACAGAAAUACGCGCAGGAUGAGCCCCGAGUAAUGUGUACAAAGCAACUGCUGCCGCACAACUGAGGCGGCAGGAUGCCGUGGCAGCGGUUUCAAACAGACGGCUGCGGAACAAAAUGGGAUUCGGAACAGGCCAAAGCACGACUUCGGUUCCAGAGUCAGAAUCGUCACACAACAUCUGUUCGAGAGUGAGAUAGCUAUACAAAGAAUGCAAGGGAAGGGGCUUUCCGAGUGGCAGUGGGCCUGGGAAUAGGCAAAGGUCCCACAAUCCACAACAAAUCCAGUGACGAGAGGUCUAUGCAUUGGGGUUGCGUGAGCGGGCAGAAAGGGAUUGGGAGCUGGAGAGUUAUAUAAAAAUGUACUCAGGUGAUCUGUGUACGGGAAUAUGCAAUCAUCAUCACUGUUGUCGAAAUUACUGAGGACAGCACUACCAGUUCCCAUUCCCGCUCUAAGCAUCACAAGGACCAUUGGCUGGCUAAUUUGGCAAAGAUGGGAGGAAGGCUACGAAAGACUGCUGUGCUCUCUGGUCUACUUGGCCUUGUGCUUAUUCAAUCCGAAAUCGGCUUGGCGAGGCAUUACAAUCAAUUAUGCAAAUCGUCACAUAUGAAAUGGAUACAUAUAUAGAAGGACUUACAGACUUUGCCAGUUGAAAUGUAACCAACACCAUCUCCAAAGGCAUAUAUAAUUGCGCCUAAUUGCCUUUAAUUGUUCAGAACGGAAGUCCAAAAACGACAGGACAAUGAGUACUAAUUCACCUAUCAGUGGAAACAUAAACAUUGUGUUUUCGGAACGGAGCCUAUUCUUCACAACUUAUAUGUACUCAAUCCGCAUGACUAGACCUCCAACGGCAAGCUUCAUGAAAAGCUUCAAGGGAAAGUGUUCUUACCAUCCCACAUAGCAGUCCUGCACAACCCCAUAGUUAAUUAAUUGUAAUACGACGAAAAAAUAACAGAAACGCAUACAAAUCACGAAUAUACCUAGGGAACCAAACGACAAACGGAACCGAAAUUCGAAUGAUUCCUUGCGUAGACAGGAAGAUAUCUUCACAAACUGUCAGUUCAUGAUGGAGCCAGAACAGUUCUCUGAGGAAUGCCUGUAGCUUUUGCUCAAUCCUAUUCUCCUAUGGAGCGCUGUGGAGUGCCCCAUGGAUCAGAUGUCCGAUGAGUGCUGCGAUGGAUGUUAGGGCACACCGGCGGUGAUCUUGACAGCACAGAGGGCUGCAGCAGGGAGUGCGUUUUGCGCUCCCACUGUCGACCCGGGGAGAAAAUCAACGAGCUCCGAUGGCAUGAUCCCAAGGACGGCUUAGACUGCUUUCUUCGAGGGAGAAAUUCAUCGAGUUGGCACUUGCGUGGAUGGAUACUAGCUAAAUGAGCCGCGUUAACAAGGAAAACUAUCGACCUAGUCCGAGCUUCGCUUCAACAGAUCAAAGCUAUUGUUCGCUGACCUUACCAAGUGCGCUCCCGACCUACUACCUGGAUAAAUUCAAAUAACACAUGCCCAUACAAAACUGAAGGCUAUUCUUCCAGCAGAACCGCUUAUUCCAUAUUCUUGAUUGUAAAGUGAUUGUUAACUGCCUCUUGUGAGCUCUCAGCAUUUUCCGUCGCAUCGAUUAAGUCUUUUUCAGCCGUCAAAAUAAAAACACAUUUGUUUUUGCCGAAA